rnacentral:lncRNA from 1 species
CUCGUGCCGGAGCCGUUCGGCCACCUCCGGCCACCGUUCGGGUCCCGCCUUGGUCCGGUUUAACCCCUCAACCUUCCCCGGUCCUUUUCCAUCUCAUCCAAGCCCCGGAUCCGCCCAUUCUCGGCCUCAACCAGCAGUGGACAGCAGCUGGAAAAAUGGGUAUGGCAGCCCGGUUUUGGCCCGUUUUGGUCGGCUUCCCGACCCCGGAUGCUUGGCGCGCUUUGAAGAAAGUUGUUCCCCUCGGCGCCCCCGUCGUUUUGGUCCGCUCGGCUCGCUAAUCCGGUGAGUUUAACUCACUAAAUCUUGAUUAGAGGGUUAAUGAUGCCCUAAGUGUGCUUAGUCUAAGUUAAGUAAGUUUAGAUGGUUAAAUUAGUUUAUUUGGUUGAGGAUUAUAUUAAGAUGUUUAAUUAAGUUAAAGUGUGUUUAGUUUAAAGUUAAGUAUGUUUAUUUUAAUAUAAAGCCUUGAUGUGACAUAAUAGGGUUUUACUUUUGAAUUAUUUAAUGAUUUCGAAUUCUGGAAUUUAUAAUAUUAUAUUAUAUUUCGAAAUUAUUAAAAUAUUAUUAUUAAAAAAAAUGGAAAAAUUAUUUUUGACCCCGAUUGCUUAGAAUUUCGUGCCGAUCGCUGCUAUGCAUUCGGAUUUCGAAAUUGAUGGUUGGAUAUUAUAAAUUGAGCAUGGAUCGUGAAAUAUAUGGAUAUUAUUAUUUAAUUAAUUUUCGGAAUAAAUUUAAUUAUUUAAUAAAUUCUAAAAAUUAUUUUGGAACCUUAUUUUCUUAGAAUUCCGUGCUGAUCGCUGCUGUGCAUUUAGAAUUUGAAAUUGCUGAAUGGAUGUGGCAAAUUGAGUGUUGAUUGUGGUAAAUAAGGAUUUUAUUCAGAAAAACCCAAGUGUCGGGUUUUGAUGCAAAAAUUGGAUUUUAAUGAUUAUAUUAAAUGGUGGGGUUUGAAAAAGUGAGAUAUUGGCUUUUUGAUUCGAAUUUAGCGUGUCCCCACACACGUGAGUAAUUUCUUGAAUAUUUUUAAUAUGAAGAAAAACGGCCGGGAUCACUAUUUUAAGUGGAAGCAUUGAUUGAAAUAUAAAGUGUCCUGGGGCCAAGUAUGAUUUGGCUGUGUGAUAAUUAAGAGGAAUCGUCUUGGGCUAUUGAGCCGGACUUGCCCCUAUAUGGGAUGCCCACGCAGUGGUUGCGGGUCGCAGUUGAUUCUGGGCCCAUGCUCCUUCGGGAACGCCGUCGAUGUACUGACGAAGCCGCGCUCCAUGGGGGGGGAGGCGAUGCCUGGGCUAUAUGCCAGUAGAUAGCCGAACUGCGAGUAGGCUAUGCCCUUGUGUGGCAGUGAAUAACAAUUGGAAUGCAUAUUGAGUGUUGUUGAUGUGUCGGAUUAUAGGACGGAAUUGUGUGGCAUGGAAUGGGACGUGUCAUAAUGAUUUAGUCUUAUAAUCAGGACCCCCGCGGUUGUUGGUUAUAUGAAAGAGAAUGCGUUCCGGUUGUUUAAGUUCAUAUUACUAUCUGUGGUUGAGUGAUUUGAAUUGCGCUAACCUGCAGGAAGGAACUGAGGCGAGGUAAGUCUUAUGUGUGAUGUGGCUAGGCCACCCGGGGUGUAUUUUCUUUCUAAUAGGGGUUUAGGGGGUUGAACUUGUUGAGACAUCAUCUCAUCCCGGUUGUGGGAUUAAAAUUUCAGGUCCAUGGUGGACGGAGCGACCAGAUAGCUUUGGUUCGCCUUGAGGAGUUGCAGAGGUGAAGUCAUAAGAUUGGAGAUCGUGUCCGACUUGUAGGUCGUAAGACAGUUCCUUUUUAAGAGCCGAUCUUUUGUAGACUUUUGGCUGUAGGCUUCUGUUUGUAAUUCUGUUGAAUUAUGAAAGUGUUAUGUUGUGGUUUUGCUUCCUGCCUUUCUAUCCCAUAUUUCAUUGUCAGGGGUUUUAUAAUACGUUCCGCUUGCACAAUAAUAAAAUGAAUGGGGU